CUUGUUUUGUUUGAGCUGAACUGAAAUUAGAAUGAUACGAGAAGAUUAGCAUGGCCCUCUGCAAAGAUGAUACACAGACUUGUGAAGUUUUCUACAUUAAA
rnacentral:snRNA from 1 species